rnacentral:rRNA from 1 species
AUUGAACGCUGGCGGCAUGCUUUACACAUGCAAGUCGAACGGUAACAGGCCGCAAGGUGCUGACGAGCGGCGAACGGGUGAGUAAUGCAUCGGAACGUGCCCAGUCGUGGGGGAUAACGCAGCGAAAGCUGCGCUAAUACCGCAUACGAUCUGUGGAUGAAAGCGGGGGACCGUAAGGCCUCGCGCGAUUGGAGCGGCCGAUGUCAGAUUAGGUAGUUGGUGGGGUAAAGGCCCACCAAGCCGACGAUCUGUAGCUGGUCUGAGAGGACGACCAGCCACACUGGGACUGGGACACGGCCCAGACUCCUACGGGAGGCAGCAGUGGGGAAUUUUGGCCAAUGGGCGCAAGCCUGAUCCAGCAAUGCCGCGUGCAGGAAGAAGGCCUUCGGGUUGUAAACUGCUUUUGUACGGAACGAAACGGCUCUGGUUAAUACCUGGGGCUAAUGACGGUACCGUAAGAAUAAGCACCGGCUAACUACGUGCCAGCCGCCGCGGUAACAC